rnacentral:rRNA from 1 species
GAUGAACGCUGGCGGCGUGCCUAAUACAUGCAAGUCGAGCGAACAGACGAGGAGCUUGCUCCUUUGACGUUAGCGGCGGACGGGUGAGUAACACGUGGAUAACCUACCUAUAAGACUGGGAUAACUUCGGGAAACCGGAGCUAAUACCGGAUAACAUGUUGAACCGCAUGGUUCAACAGUGAAAGACGGUUUUGCUGUCACUUAUAGAUGGAUCCGCGCCGCAUUAGCUAGUUGGUAAGGUAACGGCUUACCAAGGCAACGAUGCGUAGCCGACCUGAGGGGGUGAUCGGCCACACUGGAACUGAGACACGGUCCAGACUCCUACGGGAGGCAGCAGUAGGGAAUCUUCCGCAAUGGGCGAAAGCCUGACGGAGCAACGCCGCGUGAGUGAAGAAGGUCUUCGGAUCGUAAAACUCUGUUAUUAGGGAAGAACAAAUGUGUAAGUAACUAUGCACGUCUUGACGGUACCUAAUCAGAAAGCCACGGCUAACUACGUG